CCUACGGGAGGCAGCAGUGGGGAAUAUUGCACAAUGGGCGCAAGCCUGAUGCAGCCAUGCCGCGUGUGUGAAGAAGGCCUUCGGGCUGUAAAGCACUUUCAGCGGGGAGGAAGGCGUUAAGGUUAAUAACCUUGGCGAUUGACGUUACCCGCAGAAGAAGCACCGGCUAACUCCGUGCCAGCAGCCGCGGUAAUACGGAGGGUGCAAGCGUUAAUCGGAAUUACUGGGCGUAAAGCGCACGCAGGCGGUCUGUCAAGUCGGAUGUGAAAUCCCCGGGCUCAACCUGGGAACUGCAUUCGAAACUGGCAGGCUAGAGUCUUGUAGAGGGGGGUAGAAUUCCAGGUGUAGCGGUGAAAUGCGUAGAGAUCUGGAGGAAUACCGGUGGCGGAGGCGGCCCCCUGGACAAAGACUGACGCUCAGGUGCGAAAGCGUGGGGAGCAAACAGGAUUAGAUACCCGUGUAGUC
rnacentral:rRNA from 1 species